GCUCAGAGCCUGGAGCCUGCUUCAGAUUCUGUGUCUCUGCCUCUCUCUGCCCCUCUCCCUCUCGCGCUCUGUCUCCCUCUCUCUCUCGAAAAAUAAACGUGAAAAAAAAUUUAAGAAAAGAUCAAAUGGUCUUUCACUUCGAAUGGAUCUUUCAACCAUAAUUUUGUAGAAUCGUCGGAAAAUAUUGGCUCGCUGUUGACACAUUUCACGACACAACAUCAAAAAUCACAAUUACUUAUAUUACCACUACUGUUGUCAGAAAAGUAUUUAAGUAUCGGAAAGCUGGAAAGCGUCGUCUGCCUAGAGUGCCUGUUCAGCACACUGUCAGUGACUCAUGGAGCGUCUGAGUUAUCAUCGUGGGAUCCCCCCUCACAUACUGCGCCACAGAGUCUUGAAAGGGCGAACCGCUAGCCCCCCAGGGUGCAAAUACAUGGAUAUAAUAAUCGUGCUACCGAAUAGCUGCUUGGUCUCCUUUAGGGAUGUAGCAAAUCUCAAGGCUGAAAUUGAAUUUCAAGGGUUGGCAUUGACCUUUGAUGCUGACAGGUUGGACAUCCAGCAGCAGUAGGAGCUACAUCGGCUUUGGUAAGAGGAACCCCAUGUUGUUUUAUUGGGUGGACGAAUAUCCUCCAAUCUUGCCAACACAAAUACUCUGUUAUUGGACACUGCAAGCAUGGAGGUUGACAAGGGCACGUGUUAGCCGAUCUCCAGCGGAGGCGUCAUCUUAUCCACUUGGCCGUUGAGUGGCUCCUUGGCAGUGGAUACUCACUGGUGGGCUCAGUGGUUUCCACUGCCACAGGUGCAUCCAGGAGGAACUACAGAGCAUUGCGGCCGCUCUUAUGUGUGCACUCUGGGAUGAUCUCCCCGCUCAAGAGUUUUCAUUUAAUCACCGUCCUUUUGCCACGUAAGGUAACGUAUUCACAGGUUCCGGGGAUUAGAACCCCGACAUCUUUGGGUUGCCCGUAUUCUGUCUAUUACAGGGUUGUUUCCAGAUGUUGGCUAUUAAAAAUAAAGCUACUAAAAACAUUCCUA